rnacentral:rRNA from 1 species
UACGGAGGGUGCAAGCGUUAUCCGGAUUCACUGGGUUUAAAGGGUGCGUAGGUGGGCAGGUAAGUCAGUGGUGAAAUCUCCGGGCUUAACCCGGAAACUGCCAUUGAUACUAUCUGUCUUGAAUACCGUGGAGGUGAGCGGAAUAUGUCAUGUAGCGGUGAAAUGCUUAGAUAUGACAUAGAACACCAAUUGCGAAGGCAGCUGGCUAGACCUGUAUUGACGCUGAGGCACGAAAGCGUGGGGAGCGAACAGG